AGGGUUUCAGAUUUCAAAACGCCGCUUCCCUGCUCCUCUCUCUCUCUCUCUGGCGAUUCAGAAACGAUUUCACCAGAUCUGCUCCUCUCUUUCUGGCUAUUCAGGAACGAUUUCACUAGAUCUAUGAAGUUUCAACAGAUCGAUGAAGAUUCUGACCUCCUGGUUCCGUUUUCCGGCUUUUAUUGGCGUUUUGCAACAUUCAUCAAGGGUCAUGGUUUGAAGACUAGAUCUGGUGAAGAAUAAUAAGAAUACUCG